CAGCGAUCUGUCUUCACCACCCUCCAGGGGAUUCUGCGGUGGACUCAGGUUUGAGAACAGAGGAUGCAUAAUACCAUGCCCUGGGUAACCUGAUGUGCUAGGCUGUUAGAACAAGGAGAACUGAGCUCAGAAGUAUCCGUACAUUCUAAAACAUUGUUGACUCUCCCUUUGGCAGAGAGCACUGACCAGUUGGCCCACAAUGCGUGUGUGUGGCAAGGGGUGAAGGGUUAAGAGGAGAAAGUUCUAUUCCCGGCAAGAACAAGAUGUUUCCUCUACCAGAAUUGGCGGGAGACAGCCAGCGCCCAGCCAGAGGGACCAGUCAAGCAGAUGCUUAUCAUAAGCCAGAGGACAACCCCCUUCUACGUUCAUCUGGAAUCACGGAGGUCAGCUGCCUCACACCUCAGGCCAAGAGAGGGAGUGGUGACACUGUGGCACUGAGAGAAUGAGGACUGACUCUGAAGGGCUGGCUAAUCCCUCCUGGGAGCAGGGAAUGAGGACAGUGCUGAAAGCAAUUUUGAAUGCUUUUGUUUGUGACCACCAAUUCUUUGUCAUUUUCCCCCUACAAAGUAUGUUACAAAGUAACCUGUGAGAUGACUGCAGUGAAAUUACAGGUUACAGCGAAAACAUGGUCAGGGCAAGGAGCUUCCCAGUGGGAAUACUUUCUUUUUCAUUUUAUAAAAAAAUAAAAGCUUUGUACUAAGAAAUUAAACUAUUUUUAUGUUUUGUACCUCACUGGUAUAUUAAAUACCGUUUAUUAAGAUGCUUUUAAUUCAGGAAAUGUUGAAAUGAAACAUUGGCCCCCUAGCAAAUCGAAUUUCGAUGAUUAAUUCUGACGUAGUGGACAGGAAUCACGGGAAGACACGUGCUGUGACUCAGAUUACAAGAAGAGCAGCAGCCACCCGUAGCGGCAGGGAGGCCGAGAGGAGACGGACGUCAGCGGAGGAGGGAACGG
rnacentral:lncRNA from 1 species